UACGAAGGGGGCUAGCGUUGUUCGGAAUUACUGGGCGUAAAGCGCACGUAGGCGGUGUUCCAUGUCAGAGGUGAAAGCCUGGGGCUCAACCCCAGAAUUGCCUUUGAAACGGGGGACGCUUGAGUCCGAGAGAGGAUGGCGGAAUUCCUAGUGUAGAGGUGAAAUUCGUAGAUAUUGGGAGGAACACCAGUGGCGAAGGCGGCUCACUGGACUGGUACUGACGCUGAGGCGCGAAAGCGUGGGGAGCAAACGGG
rnacentral:rRNA from 1 species